GGAGGCAGGUGGUAAACAGGAAAUGGUUAAGUAGGAGCAGGUGGAGUGGGUGCGGUGCUGGAACAGGCAGGAAAUAGCUGAGCAGCUGAAUGGACUCACAAGAAUGCUUUGCCAACUCCCCAAGGCUGGGGCAAAGGCGCCGGCUGCCCCCUCCUCCCAGCCCUGCACAGCGAGGUGUCUGGCCUGGCAGCGCCUGGCUGGCCCCACUGUCCUCCUCGGUUCUGCCUGGGGCUGAAAGGAGCAGGCCACGGGGCUAGGAGGAGAAUGGUGGUUCCUACAGGGGCGUGAGUGACCGGCUUUGAGGGUGCAGGUUAUGAGGGGCUACAGGAGGUGGACAAGAUUGCCAAGGACCUGGAGUGCUUUUCCUCUUCUGGUUCUUUGUUCCCCAGAGGGCCCUUUGGAUUGACUGGGACCCCCCAGGAGCGGUCGGUCCCACCCUCGGUCGAGCAUGCUGCCAGCUGGCUACUGGAUGUGGGCAGGAGCUGAACACCCCAGGCUUUUUUCAGCCUCCCAUUUGUUCCUUGUAAUACAGGUGCCUCUAAGUGUGUGUGGGGGGGGCUCUCAGGAGAGACAGGAAGCCGAAGUGCAGGAAAAUGAGAAGGGCUGGGGCGUGAGCGCCUUUGAGCCUCCACACCCUCCCCUGUCCUCCCUCGGUUCCACUAUGGCUCUCACCUUUAGAUUCCUCUUGGCUUGAAGGGCUGCCCCUUGCUCUAGUAUAAAACCAGGUGCUCUUGGUCCUCAUUUGUCCCCUUCUCAGGAAAGCUUAGCUCGGGGCUGACAGCUUUGCUUCCCAGGGCAGGCGCACCUCACGCUGGCCCGUGGGUUUCCUCGCUGCGGAGCAGAAGUCUGGCCGCUCUAGCCUUGAAGUGUUGCUGACAUAUCUCUGUCUAUGAACCCCCAGCAGCCAGGCAUGAACUCCCAGCUCAGCAGCUUUACCGUGGGGGCUGUAGCCUCAUGGUUGCAUCUAGCUCCUCAGAUGGACCUGACCCUUGCUGGAGAGGGGUUGACAAGUUGUGGGAAGAAGCUGUGCUCCCAGGUUUUCUCAGGAGCAGGAGACAGCAAAGGGGUCUCACACACAAACUCUUAAUAGCAACCCCAUUUUAUUGGUUAUUUAUUUUACUCCCAUAUAGUAUGUAUUUCAGUAAGUGCAUGCAUGCAUUUAUAUAUACAUGUUUUGAAUCAUUUAAUCCCCAGUACAACCCAAAGAAGAGGUACUUUCCCACUUCAUGGACAAGAAGCUGAGGCCCAGAGAAGGGAGAUACGCUGUCCUCGUGGUAGUGAUGUAGUGGGUUCCCUUCUCUGCACUCAAGCCUGGGCAGCUUGGCCUGGAGUCUGCACUCUGACCCGGUACUGUGCUACCUGGGUGAGGAGACUUUGGAGGAGGCCAGAGGGGACCGUGUGGACAAAGGCUGGGAGGCUUGGGACGGUCAGUUUGUAAGUGGGUGGACAUCCCAUCACACCAUUGUCAAUGCCGUUUAUGAAGUAGUGAGGGUGGCACCAGCAACAUGGAAACGCACAGGAGGGACAGACCCCUAAUGGUUCCAGAGAGCUACUUGGUUAAAGAGCAGUUUCUUGAGGGCUUUGGUGAUCACUGCACAGGUAGGUGGCACCUCACUGAAGCUAUCUGUUCUGAAUGGACAGUUUCACUGUGAUCCUCAGGCCCUUUUGGUCACUGCUUGCCUUGGUAAUGUCAUUAUUAGCAACCUCAUUUGAAGACAAACCCAGGGCUGUCCUGGGGCCCAGGGCAGGUGCAGCGCCAGCUUCCUUACUGGUGCGUCUCAGGACUACAGCUUUGAUCUUGUAGGGUUCAAACUUGGGUGGCGUGGCAGGGGCGAUAGAUUCCUUGCUGUGACAUUCACCAUCUUGCUCUCUGCCCUUCCAGACUCCUCUCUCAACACCUAAGCCCACAUUCCUAGCCACUGGACACAUGGACCUGCCUAACAUGACUGCCUCCAAGCUUUUGUACCUGCUGUGCCCUCUGUCUCUGCUAAGCUCCAUGUAUCUUUCAAGCUGAGACUCCCCUGCCUACAGUCUGGAUCCUCAUGGAAAGAGCUGAGCCAUGAUUAUGCAUAUUCCCAGCCUGGCACUGUAACAACUGCAGGCCCUGUAUCUAAUCCCCUAACACUCAGGCAGCACUCAAAGGUCCUGAGUGCCUGAAGGUAAGAAUGAGUAAAUGAAUGAAUGAGCCAGAGGCAAGGUGAGAAAAGGAAACAGACGCAUCCCUUAUGAGGAAAUUGCCUUGUGAUGCCUCUCAUAACCUUAUUCAGGCUGCCCUCUCCAGAGGUCAAUUUUUGGGCGCUGCUUCUCCUCUUCUCACCCCUCAGUGAUAGGCCAAAGAUGCUGGGUAUUUGCCCCGCCUCUUCCAAGUAUUGCUCGUAGGCAGCUUGCUGGUGGUCCCCAGGCAGCCCAAUGCAGGACUUGUCAGUAGGCAGGCACUUAAUGCCCCAGAAGCCUAGGAAUUCUGUCCAUGUUAAACCAGGGGAAGAACCGCACAGUCUGCAGGGAGAUCAAAGGGUUCCAGGCUCUGGGGAAUGAGGAGGUAUCAUGGUGACA
ensembl:lncRNA